AAAAGAGCACAGAAAUUUCCUACCUGGGACCUUCCAAAUUGUGUUAAAACGAACAAAAGGGUUGUGAAUGGUGCAGGAGGAUCAUGACAAUAGGUUGCAAACAGAAAUUAGAAACCCGAGUGAGCAUGUGACGUUGCCUUUCCACAUAAUAUGCAAUGAAGUAUAUGUUUUCAUUGCAUUUGCUUUGAUGAAAUGAAAUCAAAUCCUUGAAUACAAUUAUCAGAAACGAAUUGUAUUUAAGUUAAAGUAGAAAUGAGCUGUAAAAAUUAAGUUAUUUCAAAUGAAUUGUUAGCCCUUUUCCAAAUAUGCUGUAUGUUCUUG
rnacentral:misc_RNA from 1 species